GGCUGGUCCGAGUGCAGUUGGUGUUUAUAACUAAUUGAUCACAACCUGUUACAGAUUUCUUUGUUCCUUCUCCCCUCCCACUGUUUCACUUGACUGGCCUUUA
rnacentral:Y_RNA from 1 species